rnacentral:rRNA from 1 species
CGCUCAGUAAUCAGUAUAGUUUAUUCGAUUGUGAAUCCACAUGGAUAACCGUGGAAAAUCUAGAGCUAAUACAUGCGAAAAAAGCUAUUAUUAUAUAUGUAAAAGUAUAUAGUAAAGCGAUGCAUUUAUUAGAUUAGGACCAAUAGCAUUGUUAGUAUAUUUAAUAUAUGUUAUGUAUAUAUAAUAUAUAUUAAUUAUACUAGUUAAAUACAAUGUUACGUGGUGAGUCUGGAUAACUGUGCCGAUCGUAUGGCCUUGAGCCGGCGACAUUUCGAUUAAAUUUCUGCCCUAUCAACUUGUUGGUAAGGUAGUGGCUUACCAAGGUGAUAACGGGUAACGGGGAAUCAGGGUUCGAUUCCGGAGAGGGAGCCUGAGAAACGGCUACCACAUCCAAGGAAGGCAGCAGGCGCGCAAAUUACCCAAUCCAGACACUGGGAGGUGGUGACGAGAAAUACCAGGUCGUUCCCAACAGGAUUCGACACUGGAAUGAGUGUAAUUUAAGCAUUUACACGAGUAACAACUGGAGGGCAAGUCUGGUGCCAGCAGCCGCGGUAAUUCCAGCUCCAGUAGCGUAUUCUAAAGUUGCUGCGGUUAAAACGCUCGUAGUUGGACAAGAGAGUAAUCAAGUGCGGGCGGGGAAUGUAGUACACUAUAUGUUGUAUGACUACUUAUUUGUACAUUAAUAUACAUAUUACAUAUGUAUAUGAUAUACUUAGUUAUAUUGUAUAUAAUAUGUUAUGUUAUUAAGUACAAUGUAGUAUAUAGGAUAUAGAUGUAGCAUUUGUCGACCAUGCUGCUUGAUUACUUGUAAUAUUUCGUGAGGAUAGCGUGUGGCCUUAAUUGUGUUGUGCGCUAUAUCUUGCGUAGUGUGCCUUGAAUAAAUCAUAGUGCUCAAAGCAAGCCUAAGCUUGAAUGUUAAUAGCAUGGAACGAAUGUUUUGUGGAAGUGUAAUAAUAUGAAUUAAUGUUAAAAGUUAAUUUAUAUUAAUACACAGCACCAACCACGAAGCGGAACAUUGGUUGCCGUCUUCGGGUGAUGAUUAAGAGGGGCAUUUGGGGGCAUUAGUAUUUGGCCGCGAGAGGUGAAAUUCUUAGACCGGCCAAGGACUAACAAGUGCGAAAGCAUUUGCCAAGUAUGUUCCCUUUAAUCAAGAACGAAAGUGAGAGGUUCGAAGACGAUCAGAUACCGUCCUAGUUCUCACUGUAAACGAUGCCAACCCGGGAUCAGUCCGGAAUGUAUGUAAUGGAUCCAGGUUGGUCCCCCUGGGAAACCUUGAGUUUUUGGGUUCCGGGGGGAGUAUGGUUGCAAGGCUGAAACUUAAAGGAAUUGACGGAAGGGCACCACCAGGAGUGGAGCCUGCGGCUUAAUUUGACUCAACACGGGAAAACUCACCUGGUCCGGACAUCGAUAGGAUUGACAGACUAACAGAUCUUUCAUGAUACGGUGGGUGGUGGUGCAUGGCCGUUCUUAGUUCGUGGAGUGAUCUGUCUGGUCGAUUCCGAUAACGAACGAGAUCACGGUCUCCAUUUAGGGUGCUAAAGAUUUAUAUAUACAUAUUAUGAUAUUUGUAAAUAUAAUAUUAUUUUUUAAGUGGUAUUAUAUUUAUUUGUAUUGUAAUAGUUAUAUAAAUUUUUGGUGUUCGCGCAGAAAUGUACGUCCCUAUGGAGAGACAGCCGGAUUGUAAGCCGGAGGAAGCGUGGCAAUAACAGGUCUGUGAUGCCCUUCGAUGUUCAGGGCUGCACGCGCGCUACAAUGAUAACGACAGCGAGAACCUGGACUGAAAAGUUCUGGGAAAUCUUGUAAAUCGUUAUCGUGAUGGGGAUUGAGCAUUGUAAUUAUUGCUCAUGAAAUAGGAAUUCCUUGUAAUUGCGACUCACUUAGGUCGUAAUGAAUGCGUCCCCGCCCUUUGUACACACCGCCCGUCGCUACUACCGAGUGAAUGGUGUCAUGAUGUCUUGGGACUGGACGUUGUUGGCAGUGCAAACUGCGGACGAUGCUAGGAGCAAGACAAAAUGGCCCUAUUUCGAGGAAGUAAAAGU